GGAUAGCCCCGCGUUAGGGAUUGCAGUGGCAUCCUUUUUUGAGCUGACAAACAAGCCCGUCAUUACGAGGCGGUACGACGAAGUAAUCUCUAGGAAUUAGGAGAUUGCUUCGGUAAACUCGCAAUGACGCUGAGGUUAAGACAAAAAAGAUAUAGCGGAAAGCCCGACCCGAC
rfam:Jejuia pallidilutea DNA, contig: NODE_1_1/1, strain: JCM 19538.